GCACAAGGUGGAAGAUAUCGCAGCUUGAUUUUUGGAGAUAAUUUAACUGAUGUUGUGAUAACAGGUAAUAAUGGAACUGUUGAUGGUCAGGGUUCUAUAUGGUGGGAGCAGUUCACUGCCCAUUCUUUAAAUUAUACUCGACCACACCUAGUAGAAUUUGUUAGCUCCAAAGAUGUUGUCGUCUCAAACUUGACCUUCCUGAAUGCUCCAGCCUGGAAUAUUCACCCGGUGUAUUGCAGUAAUGUUGUGGUUCAGAACAUAUCGGUUCAUUCUCCAGCUAACUCCCCAUAUACCUAUGGCGUAGUCCCAGAUUCUUCCGAGCAUGUGUGCAUUGAGACCAGCAAUAUUAGCAUGGGCCAUGAUGCUGUUGUUCUCAAAAGUGGUUGGGACGAGUACGGGAUUUCCUAUGGCAAACCUACUUCGAAUGUCCAUGUUCGAGGGGUUAGGCUGCAGUCUUUUGCAGGUGCUGGAAUGGCUUUUGGCAGUGAGAUGUCUGGUGGUAUCUCCAAUGUGCUGAUAGAGCAUGUUUACUUGUAUGACUCCCUUUUGGGGAUUGAGCUGAAGACUGCAAGAGGGAGAGGUGGUUAUAUCAAAGAUAUUCUUGUUACGGAUGUGGUUAUGGCAAAUGUGCAAGUGGGAAUUGAGGCCACAGGUCAUUAUGAUUCUCAUCCAGACGAGAAAUUUGAUCCGUCUGCACUUCCAGUUGUUAGUGGUAUCACCUUUGAGGACAUUGUUGGCACAAAUGUUUCUAUAGCAGGCAAUUUCACUGGAUUAUCAGAAUCUCCCUUUACUUCAAUAUGUCUGUCAAACAUCACUUUUUCCAUAUCUUACAACCCUUU
rnacentral:misc_RNA from 1 species